UACAGAGGUCUCAAGCGUUGUUCGGAUUCAUUGGGCGUAAAGGGUGCGUAGGCGGCGCGGUAAGUCGGGUGUGAAAUCUCGGAGCUUAACUCCGAAACUGCAUUCGAUACUGCCGUGCUUGAGGACUGGAGAGGAGACUGGAAUUUACGGUGUAGCGGUGAAAUGCGUAGAUCUACGAAGGAACGCCAAAAGCGAAGGCAGCUCUCUGGGUCCCUACCGACGCUGGGGUGCGAAAGCAUGGGGAGCGAACAGG
rnacentral:rRNA from 1 species